rnacentral:rRNA from 1 species
UACGUAGGGUGCAAGCGUUAAUCGGAAUUACUGGGCGUAAAGCGUGCGCAGGCGGUUUUGUAAGUUUGUCGUGAAAUCCCCGGGCUCAACCUGGGAAUUGCGAUGAAGACGUGCAAGGCUAGAAUCUGGCAGAGGGGGGUGAGAAUUCCGACGUGUGAGCAGUGAAAUGACGUAGAGAUGUGGAGGAACACCGAUGGCGAAGGCA